rnacentral:rRNA from 1 species
GCGGCGCGGGUCACUAUAAUGCAGUCGAGCGAACGAGACGAGUAAGCUUGCUUCUCUGAUGUUAGCGGCGGACGGGUGAGUAACACGUGGAUAACCUACCUAUAAGACUGGGAUAACUUCGGGAAACCGGAGCUAAUACCGGAUAAUAUUUUGAACCGCAUGGUUCAAAAGUGAAAGACGGUCUUGCUGUCACUUAUAGAUGGAUCCGCGCUGCAUUAGCUAGUUGGUAAGGUAACGGCUUACCAAGGCAACGAUGCAUAGCCGACCUGAGAGGGUGAUCGGCCACACUGGAACUGAGACACGGUCCAGACUCCUACGGGAGGCAGCAGUAGGGAAUCUUCCGCAAUGGGCGAAAGCCUGACGGAGCAACGCCGCGUGAGUGAAGAAUGGUUCCUUCGGAUUCGUAAAACUCUGGUAGUAGGGAAAGAACCAUAUGUGUAAGUAACUGUUGCACAUCCUGACCGGGUACCUAAAUCAAGAAAAAGGCCACCGGCUAACUACGUGCCAGCAGCCCGCGGUAAUACGUAGGUGGCAAGCGUUAUCCGGGAAUUAUUUGGGCGUAAAGCGCGCGUAGGCGGUUUUUUUUAAGUCUGAUGUGAAAGCCCACGGCUCAACCCGUGGAGGGUCAUUGGAAACUGGAAAACUUGAGUGCAGAAGAGGAAAGUGGAAUUCCAUGUGUAGCGGUGAAAUGCGCAGAGAUAUGGAGGAACACCAGUGGCGAAGGCGACUUUCUGGUCUGUAACUGACGCUGAUGUGCGAAAGCGUGGGGAUCAAACAGGAUUAGAUACCCUGGUAGUCCACGCCGUAAACGAUGAGUGCUAAGUGUUAGGGGGUUUCCGCCCCUUAGUGCUGCAGCUAACGCAUUAAGCACUCCGCCUGGGGAGUACGACCGCAAGGUUGAAACUCAAAGGAAUUGACGGGGACCCGCACAAGCGGUGGAGCAUGUGGUUUAAUUCGAAGCAACGCGAAGAACCUUACCAAAUCUUGACAUCCUUUGACAACUCUAGAGAUAGAGCCUUCCCCUUCGGGGGACAAAGUGACAGGUGGUGCAUGGUUGUCGUCAGCUCGUGUCGUGAGAUGUUGGGUUAAGUCCCGCAACGAGCGCAACCCUUAAGCUUAGUUGCCAUCAUUAAGUUGGGCACUCUAAGUUGACUGCCGGUGACAAACCGGAGGAAGGUGGGGAUGACGUCAAAUCAUCAUGCCCCUUAUGAUUUGGGCUACACACGUGCUACAAUGGACAAUACAAAGGGCAGCGAAACCGCGAGGUCAAGCAAAUCCCAUAAAGUUGUUCUCAGUUCGGAUUGUAGUCUGCAACUCGACUACAUGAAGCUGGAAUCGCUAGUAAUCGUAGAUCAGCAUGCUACGGUGAAUACGUUCCCGGGUCUUGUACACCCCGCCCGUCACACCACGAGAGUUUGUAACACCCGAAGCCGGGGACUCGGCCUCGCAGCGCCUCUCCGCGCCAGCUGAUGC